GCCAGCGUAGCUCAACGGUAGAGCAAUCCCUUCGUAAGGGAGAGGUUGGAAGUUCAAAUCUUCCCGUUGGCUCCA
rnacentral:tRNA from 1 species